GUGCGCUCGUGUGUGUGCUAGUUAACCUUAAUUUUUUUGUUUUCAAUGCAUUUAUUCUAAAUAUAAGCAAUUUUAUAAUACCCUUAAAUUUUUCCUAAACAUAUUGAAAUAUAAUAGAACAUGGAUCCCCCAAGGAGUUGGAUGUAUGCUAGGAAGCUACAAGAUAGAUGGAUGUAUGCUAGGAAGCUACAAGAUAGACUACUGAACUCAGAGUUUGUUAAAGGGUUGGAAGCAUUUAUCAAGUUUGCUUGUAGUAAGCCGAAAUUUAUGGACGAGAGUAAAAUUAGAUGUCUAUAUGAAAAGUGCAUAAAUUGAAAGUACUUACCUGUGGAUGAUGUCCAGUUGCAUCUAUUGAGAUGGAGGUUUAGAUCGAAUUAUCAUGAAUCGACUACACACGGUGAAUCUUUGAUUUCUUCAAAAGCUGCUGUUGAUGUGACAGUUCCAACUGCAGAACUUUCCCAUGGUGAUAAUAAUCCAUACUGUUAUAUGGUGUAUGAUGCUACUGGUCCCCAAUUUCAAAAUAUGGCUUCAGAAGAUCCGUCUCUGGAUAUUGAAUUUGAGAAUAUGGAAGAAUGCCUAAUUUAGAAGCACAAUUUUUAUGACAUGCUAAAUGUAGCUAAAGAAGAAUUGUGGCUUGGUUGUGACAGGCAUUCACAAUUGGCACCUAUAACUCGGAUGUUGAAUAUUAAGUCGGAGCAUCAUUUGUUUGAGAAAUACUACGAUGCAGUUGUGAAUUUCAUUGGGGAAUUAUUACCGGAUGAAAAUAAGUUUGCUGAUAGUUUUUACAAGAAAAAGAAGCUUAUACAUGGGUUAGGUCUACCUGUUGAGAAAAUUGACUACUGCAAGCUUGGUUGCAUGAUUUAUUGGGGGGAAAUAGUAGUUUAACAGAAUGUAAAUUUUUCGGGCAGGCAAGAUAUAAGUUUCGAAGUGGGUUAGAGAAGGCAAAAGUAUUAUGUAAGAGAAUGUAUUAUUUUCCUUUGACACCAAGACUUUAAAGACUAUAUGCUUCUGAUGCAACAGCUGCACACAUACUGUGGCAUAAUGAGCAUAACAUGGAAGAUGAUGUCAUGUGUCAUCCAUCUAAUUCUGAGGCAUGGAAGCACUUUAACCGUACCCAUCUACCGUUUGCAGCUGAAAGUCAAAAUGUUAGGUUGGGAUUAUGUACUGAUGGGUUUCAACCCUUUGGAUAGUCAGGACAGUAGUAUUCAUGUUGGCCAGUAAUAAUUACACCUUACAACUUGCCUCCUGGUACAUGUAUGAAGGAGCCUUAUUUGUUUUUAUUGAUAAUAAUACCUGGACCACAAAAUCCCAAGGAACAGUUAGAUGUCUAUUUACAGCCAUCAAUUGCUGAACUAAUUCAGUUAUGGGAAGUGGGUGUGCAGACAUAUGAUGUAUCUAAGAAGCAAAAUUUUCAAAUGUAUGCUACUCUUAUGUGGACAAUUAGUGAUUUUCCCGCUUAUUCAAUGUUGUCCGGGUGGAGCACUGCUGGGAGAUUAGCAUGUCCAAACUGUAUGGAUUAUUCAGAUGCAUUUUCAUUGAGUCACGGAGCGAAAAUUACUUGGUUUGAGAAUCACCGUAAGUUUCUUCUACAAAACCAUCCAUUUAGACGAAACAAAGUAAAUUUCCUUAAAGGAAAAACAUGCACAAAUGAGUCUCCUCCAAUUUUAAGCAGCGAAGACACUUUUUUAUAGAUAGAGGGCUUAGGACUUAAGAGGGUAACAUAUAUUGAUGGUGAAGCGAUCAAUGCUGCCAUAGCCAGAAAUACUGGUUGGCGAAAAAGGAGCAUAUUUUGGGAUUUACCUUAUUAGUCUUCCAAUCUCAUUUGACAUAACUUAGAUGUCAUGCACAUCGAGAAAAAUGUCUUUGAGAAUACUUUUAACACUGUGAUGAAUAUUGAAGGGAAGACAAAGGAUAAUGCAAAAGCAAGAGAAGAUAUGACACAUUUAUGUCAUAGAAAAAAGUUAGAGAAAGAUGUGCGAACAGGUAAAUACCCUAAGGCUUGCUAUACUCUUGAUAAACAGCAAAAGCACAAAUUAUGUGAAUGGGUGAAAAGCGUGAAGUUUCCAGACGGUUAUGUGUCCAACAUGGGAAGGUGUGUUGACAUGGAUAAGUAUAAGCUUUUCGGUAUGAAGAGCCAUGACUGUCAUGUGUUUAUGCAGAGAUUAUUACCAAUUGCAUUUUGCGAGUUCCUUCCAAAUACAGUUUGGCAAGCAUUGACUGAGUUGAGCUUGUUUUUUAAAAAUCUUAUUGCUACAAAUAUUAAUGUGCAAGAUACGGAGCGUCUGGAAGCAGAAAUUCCCAUUAUUAUUUGCAAAUUAGAAUGCAUAUUUCCUUCUACCUUUUUUGACUGAAUGGACUAUCUUCCCAUCCAUUUGCCAUAUGAAGUAAAAAUUGCAGGCCUAGUACAAUAUCGAUGGAUGUAUCAUUUUGAAAGGUAAUAAAUACUUCUUAUUUUUCUUUAAAUGUUAUGAAAUGUAUCGUAAACUUUUUGUAAGCCAUUUGACCAUAAUUUUUUUUAAUUUUUAGAUUUCUCUGCCACCUGAAGCAAAAUAUAAAGAACAAAGCAAAAGUAAAAGGUUCAAUAUGUAAUGCGUACUUAGUUGAAGAAGUAUCCAAUUUUUGUGUGCAUUACUUUGAACCUCAUGUAAUAGCACGAGAUUGACAAGUACCCCGUAAUGAUGAUGGUGAUGUUGAUAUCAAAGGAAAUUUAUUAAUUUUCAAGUAUCUCGAUUGAUCGUAUUGUACAAUGAAAAUGAAGAUGGUGGCUGAUGAUGAAAAUAAAACUGCCCAAAUAUAUGUCCUACUAAAUUGCCCUGAAAUUGACACGUAUGUGAAGUAAGUUUAUUAACUACCCAAAAUUUAAGUUAAAUUUCUAAAAGUCAUUAUGAAUUUUCCUUUCCCUCUAAGAAUCGCCCAAUUUAAUUGUAUAUGUAGUUUGUUCCUAACUGAAUUGUGACAGACGUCACAUAAUAUUAGUGAUGCAGAAGUUGAUGAAGCACUAGAAAAAAGAUUUGCAGAUUGGUUUAAAGGUUAUAUAAGUAUCAAUUUAUUUAACUCAUUUCAUUAUCAAUCUUCAAAUAAUAUAGUACAUAAUAAUAAGGAUUUCAAUUCUCUUUAACUUAUCAAGCAAGGCAUUCAAACAUUAAUAAUAAAUUCAUUAAGGAUUUAACAGAAGGACCAUUGAGAAGUGUGAAAUCACAUCCUGUGUAUUUCAUAAAUGGUUAUAGAUUUCACACAAAUAGUCAUGGUGCUAAUCGAUCCACAAUGAAUAGCUGAGUUUGCAUUAGGAGUUCAAUAUAUGGUGACAACUCCAAUAACUACUAUGGUAUCUUGAAAGAGGUAGUUCAACUUGAGUACCCUGCAUUACCAAUGAAGAGAACUAUUCUCUUCAAGUGUGAAUGGUUUGAUCGAACUUCGGAUGUUGGUAUUAAGGUUCACAAACACUAUAACUUAGUGGAUAUCAAUCACAGGAAAAGAUUAAAUAAAUAUGAACCAAUCACACUUGCUUCACAAGCUGAACAAGUGGUUUACAUCUCUUAUCCUAGCUUGAGAUGAGACAAAGCUUAUUGGUAUACCAUAUGCAAAGUGAAGCCUAGAUCUGUUAUCAUCAUGCCUCGGACAAAUAUACCAGAGCAAAUAACAGACCAAGCAUUUCAAGAUGAGGUAGUAGAAGUGUUACAAAUUGAUAUAAAAGUAGAAGAGCAACAGAUUGGACCAUUAGAUGAUUUAAGUAGUGAACCACUAGAGCUUAAAACUGUUGAAGAAGAACUAUUGGACGAGGCAGAUCUAAAUUAUACAAUGAAAAGCGAUGAAGAAGAACUUCAUGAAUAUGAUGAUGAUAGUGAAUAAAUUGUAUUGUAAUGGAUAGUGAUCUAAAUUUCAAAAGCAAUAAAUAAUUUAACUUUAAUGUAAUGAUUGUGAUAUUAUCAUAUUAUUGAUGUCUAUUAUUUUACAAUUUAACUUUAUAAAUUAUUUGUGAGAAGGAGAUGUGUAUAAUAAAUGUGUAAGGCAAGAUGGCA
rnacentral:misc_RNA from 1 species